rnacentral:rRNA from 1 species
CCUACGGGCGGCAGCAGUGAGGAAUAUUGGUCAAUGGGCGCGAGCCUGAACCAGCCAAGUAGCGUGAAGGAUGACUGCCCUACGGGUUGUAAACUUCUUUUAUAAAGGAAUAAAGUGAGGCACGUGUGCCUUUUUGUAUGUACUUUAUGAAUAAGGAUCGGCUAACUCCGUGCCAGCAGCCGCGGUAAUACGGAGGAUCCGAGCGUUAUCCGGAUGUAUUGGGUGUAAAUGGAGCGUAGAUGGGUUGGUAAGUCAGUUGUGAAAGUUUGCGGCUCAACCGUAAAAUUGCAAUUGAUACUGGCAGUCUUGAGUACAGUAGAGGUAGGCGGAAUUCGUGGUGUAGCGGUGAAAUGCGUAGAUAUCACGAAGAACACCGAUGGCGAAGGCAGCUUACUAAACUGCCACUGACAUUGAUGCUCGAAAGUGUGGGUAUCAAACAGGAUUAGAUACCCGGGUAGUC